rnacentral:misc_RNA from 1 species
GAUGAAGAACGCAGCGAAAUGCGAUAAGUAAUGUGAAUUGCAGAAUUCAGUGAAUCAUCGAAUCUUUGAACGCACAUUGCGCCCCCUGGUAUUCCGGGGGGCAUGCCUGUCCGAGCGUCAUUUCAACCAUCAAGCCCCAGCGCUUGUGUUGGGGGCCUGCGGCUGCCGCAGCCCCCCAAAAGCAGUGGCGGGCUCGCUAUCACACCGAGUGCAGUAGUUCAUCUUCUCUCCGGUCUUGUGAGGCGGGUUCCGGCCGUGAAACACCCCACUACAUUCAAGGUUGACCUCGGAUCAGGUAGGAAUACCCGCUGAACUUAAGCAUAUCAAUAAGCGGAGGA